AUUGAACGCUGGCGGCAGGCCUAACACAUGCAAGUCGAGCGGAUGAAGGGAGCUUUCUCCUGGAUUCAGCGGCGGACGGGUGAGUAAUGCCUAGGAAUCUGCCUGGUAGUGGGGGAUAACGUCCGGAAACGGGCGCUAAUACCGCAUACGUCCUGAGGGAGAAAGUGGGGGAUCUUCGGACCUCACGCUAUCAGAUGAGCCUAGGUCGGAUUAGCUAGUUGGUGGGGUAAGGGCCUACCAAGGCGACGAUCCGUAACUGGUCUGAGAGGAUGAUCAGUCACACUGGAACUGAGACACGGUCCAGACUCCUACGGGAGGCAGCAGUGGGGAAUAUUGGACAAUGGGCGAAAGCCUGAUCCAGCCAUGCCGCGUGUGUGAAGAAGGUCUUCGGAUUGUAAAGCACUUUAAGUUGGGAGGAAGGGCAGUAAGUUAAUACCUUGCUGUUUUGACGUUACCAACAGAAUAAGCACCGGCUAACUUCGUG
rnacentral:rRNA from 1 species